UGGGAAACCAUGUCAAGAAAUGACAGACUCAUUUGGAUAUUUCCCAUCCAAAAUAAAUAUCUCUCCGGGUGUAGUCGGUGGAAACCGAAGACGAGCGAUCGAGGUCUUGGCUCUUUCCCAGAUGCUCUCAUUUACCCUUCUCCAACAGUCUGGACGCCAGCCGCAGACAAAGGGCAGAUGUUGUGAUGCGAUGUGUUUCUUUGGUAAGGUUUAUUUUUUCGGUCUGUGUAUACACGCAGUUUGUUUAUUUAUUUCUUUAGUCUGUACAGUAUCCACCAGAGGCUCACUUCCGCUGAGAAAUGAUUUUGUUUACAGGGCAGUUUUGAAGUAAACACACAUGCGCAGGCAAACACGCUGCUCUCUGUGAUGGCAAACCACUUCCUAAGAUGGGAGCGAUUACAGAAAGGCCUGACACAUGUCAAACAGGGGCAUGAACUGAACACC
ensembl:lncRNA